rnacentral:miRNA from 1 species
UGUGUUUACCUGGACAUAGUU